rnacentral:rRNA from 1 species
GGGCUCGAAAUGCAGGAGACCGGGGUGGAAACAUCCCUUCCCCUUAAAAGGCUGCUGCAGUAGGUGCUGCAUGGCUGUCGUCAGCUCGUGUCGUGAGAUGUUGGGUUAAGUCCCGCAACGAGCGCAACCCUUAUCCCUAGUUGCCAUCGGGUCAAGCCGGGCACUCUAGUGAAACUGCCUCGGAUAACGAGGAGGAAGGUGGGGAUGACGUCAAGUCCUCAUGGCCUUUAUGUCCAGGGCUACACACGUGCUACAAUGGUCGGUACAAACCGUCGCAAACCCGUGAGGGGGAGCUAAUCGGAAAAAGCCGGCCUCAGUUCGGAUUGGAGUCUGCAACUCGACUCCAUGAAGCUGGAAUCGCUAGUAAUCGCGGAUCAGAACGCCGCGGUGAAUACGUUCCCGGGCCUUGUACACACCGCCCGUCACAUCACGAAAGUGGGCCGUACUAGAAGCAGGUGUGCUAACCGCAAGGAGGCAGCCUUCCAAGGUACAGCUCAUGAUUGGGGUGAAGUCGUAACAAGGUAAGCGUAGUGCU